CACCACUCAUCCUCUCGUCCCCCCCUCUCCUACGCACCCAUAGCUGCCGCCCUAUCCCUCCCUUAGAUCUCGAUCCACCGCUGCCCCCAAACCCACCCCCCGUCGACGACCCUCACCGUAGACGUGGUGCUGUGGCGCCAAGGCCGGGCCGACCUAAGCGCCUUACUCCUAGCGACUGCCGUCGCCGCGGCCAGGAGAGUCUCGCUCCGCGAGGCCGCACUCGCGACCUGCUACCCCGCGCGCGCGCCAACUCCAGUAGUUGGCUCGCUCGCUUGCUGUUGUAGGUGAGUGCUGGUGGAGCUUGAAUCGGGGAGGAGGAAGGCUGCAGAUCCGGCGGGCGAGGAGGCAAGCCGUGGGUUGCAAGAAGGCGGUGGUGGUGUGCGCGCUCAUCGGCUUCCUCGGCGUCCUCUUCGUCGUGCUUGGCUUCGCCGCCAAGGGCACCCGCGUCAAGGCGAUUCCGACAUCAUCAACGCAACACCAGCUGUACAAAGUAACUAAAAAUUCCCAGGUGUCGGACUGUUUCCUGAACAGGAAGAAGGACUACAAGGACGGGACGUUCUCCUAGGUCGUCUCCAAUGCCAUCGAUAUGAAGCUCAGGGAUGACCUUGAGAGGCUCAAGAAGAUCAGGGAGCUCUGCAUCCGAGUCUCAUCCAUCCUCGGCAGGAAGGAGCUGGGCCAAGGGAGCAAGCAGCACUUCUGGUUACUUGGGGCCAGAUCGAGUAAGAUGGCGCACCAUGGCGUGUGGCGGCCUAUUUUGCUUCCAAGAGCAGUACUGUUUAUUUGAAAUGAGAUGUACUCGUAUACUGCCUAGUAAAAUUGAAUGAUUGCCAUGUACUAUCUAUGAUGUAGUGAGCUGUAGGAGUGAAAUGAAAUUUUAUUUGUUGUUGUAUGUGUUAUUUUCCUGUAAUGUGCUGUGUACAUUUUACUUGAAUAUUAAAUUCUCCAGGAAAUGUUCUUACUGGACCUGAUAGUGGCCACGACCCAA
rnacentral:rRNA from 1 species